rnacentral:rRNA from 1 species
CCUACGGGUGGCAGCAGUGGGGGAUAUUGGACAAUGGGGGGAACCCUGAUCCAGCGACGCCGCGUGAGUGAAGAAGUAUUUCGGUAUGUAAAGCUCUGUCAGCAGGGAAGAAAGAAAUUACGGUACCUGACCAAGAAGCCCCGGCUAACUACGUUCCAGCAGCCGCGGUAAUACGUGGGGGGCAAGCGUUAUCCGGAAUUACUGGUUGUAAGGGGAGAGUAAACGGUUAGGUAAGUCUGGAGUGAAAGGCCGGGGCCCAACCCCGGGACUGCUCUGGAAACUAUUGAACUUGGGUGCAGGAGAGGUAAGCGGAAUUCCAAGUGUAGGGGGGAAAGGGG